rnacentral:rRNA from 1 species
GAUGAACGCUGGCGGCGUGCCUAAUACAUGCAAGUCGAGCGGACAGACGAGGAGCUUGCUCCUCUGACGUUAGCGGCGGACGGGUGAGUAACACGUGGAUAACCUACCUAUAAGACUGGGAUAACUUCGGGAAACCGGAGCUAAUACCGGAUAAUAUAUUGAACCGCAUGGUUCAAUAGUGAAAGACGGUUUUGCUGUCACUUAUAGAUGGAUCCGCGCCGCAUUAGCUAGUUGGUAAGGUAACGGCUUACCAAGGCAACGAUGCGUAGCCGACCUGAGAGGGUGAUCGGCCACACUGGAACUGAGACACGGUCCAGACUCCUACGGGAGGCAGCAGUAGGGAAUCUUCCGCAAUGAGCGAAAGCCUGACGGAGCAACGCCGCGUGAGUGAUGAAGGUCUUCGGAUCGUAAAACUCUGUUAUUAGGGAAGAACAAAUGUGUAAGUAACUAUGCACGUCUUGACGGUACCUAAUCAGAAAGCCACGGCUAACUACGUG